rnacentral:lncRNA from 1 species
UUAAAUAGGAGAAAGUAAUGGUUUAGGAUCUAUUAGAGGAAAUUAGAGGUUUUUGAGGGGAUUUAGUAAUGAAAUUUAGUGAUAAUCAAUAGAAUUGUAAUUAUAAAUAUUAGAUUUUUAGUAAGAGAGUAUUUAAGGAUAAAAUUAGAUGGUCUAAGAACUAAAUUUAGAAAUUUAAUAUAUAACUAAGAUUUUAGAGA